UACGUAGGGUGCGAGCGUUGUCCGGAAUUAUUGGGCGUAAAGAGCUCGUAGGCGGUUUGUCGCGUCUGCUGUGAAAUCCCGAGGCUCAACCUCGGGCCUGCAGUGGGUACGGGCAGACUGGAGUGCGGUAGGGGAGAAUGGAACUCCUGGUGUAGCGGUGGAAUGCGCAGAUAUCAGGAGGAACACCGGUGGCGAAGGCGGGUCUCUGGGCCAAAACUGACGCUGAGGAGCGAAAGCGUGGGGAGCGAACAGG
rnacentral:rRNA from 1 species